rnacentral:rRNA from 1 species
ACAUGCAAGUCGAGUUUGAAUGGAUUAAGAGCUUGCUCUUAUGAAGUUAGCGGCGGACGGGUGAGUAACACGUGGGUAACCUGCCCAUAAGACUGGGAUAACUCCGGGAAACCGGGGCUAAUACCGGAUAAACAUUUUGAACCGCAUGGUUCGAAAUUGAAAGGCGGCUUCGGCUGUCACUUUAUGGAUGGACCCGCGUCGCAUUAGCUAGUUGGUGAGGUAACGGCUCACCAAGGCAACGAUGCGUAGCCGACCUGAGAGGGUGAUCGGCCACACUGGGACUGGAGACACGGGCCAGACUCCUACGGGAGGCAGCAGUAGGGGAAUCUUCCGCAAUGGACGAAAGUCUGACGGAGCAACGCCGCGUGAGUGAUGAAGGCUUUCGGGGUCGUAAAAACU